UACGUAGGUUGCGAGCGUUAAUCGGAAUUACUGGGCGUAAAGCGUGCGCAGGCGGUUUUGUAAGACAGGUGUGAAAUCCCCGGGCUUAGCCUGGGAACUGCACUUGUGACUGCAAGGCUGGAGUACGGCAGAGGGGGAUGGAAUUCCGCGUGUAGCAGUGAAAUGCGUAGAUAUGCGGAGGAACACCGAUGGCGAAGGCAGUCCCCUGGGCCUGUACUGACGCUCAUGCACGAAAGCGUGGGGAGCAAACAGG
rnacentral:rRNA from 1 species